UGGGUAACAUCCGCUGCGUGCUGUAGAUCUGCCAUUUUGUUGUCCAGAUCAGAGAGCAGGGGACGCGGUGUUCGUUACUCUGUAAAUGAAUAAUACGACUCUCUUAUAGUGGACCAGAAGUAGAGGCGAGGCACGAUGCUUUCCGCAGCCCAGUUACUCGAUGAGUUAAUGGGUCGGGACCGGAACUUGGCUCCGGAUGAGAAGCGCUGUAAUGUUCGCUGGGAUGACGAGACUGUCUGCAAAUAUUACCUGUGUGGCUUUUGCCCUGCUGAACUCUUCACAAACACACGGUCAGACUUGGGUCCUUGUGAAAAAAUCCAUGAUGAAAACUUAAGGAAAAUGUAUGAGAAGAGCUCCCGCUUCAUGAAGGAAGGAUAUGAACGAGACUUCUUGCGGUACCUGCAGAGUCUUCUAGCCGAGGUGGAGCGCAGGAUUCGGAGGGGCCACGCGCGUCUCGCCCUGUCACAAGCCCAGCAGAACUCUGGGGCACCAGGUCCGUCUGGGAAGAACGAGGAGAAAGCGCAGGUCCUCACAGAGAAGAUUGAAGAGCUUGUUGUUCAGAUUGAAGAGUUGGGCUCGGAGGGCCGUGUUGAGGAGGCACAGGGCAUGAUGAAGCUGGUGGAGCAGCUCAAGGAAGAGCGGGAGCAGCUCAGUUCCACUCCUUCAACGAUUGAGAGCUUUGCGGCUCAGGAGAAGCAGAUGGAGGUGUGUGAAGUGUGUGGCGCUUUCCUCAUAGUCGGUGACGCUCAGUCCAGAGUGGAUGACCAUCUAAUGGGCAAGCAGCAUAUGGGAUAUGCUAAAAUCAAAUCCACAGUGGAGGAACUGAAGGAAAAGUUGCGUCGGCGCUCAGAGGACCCGGAGAAGGAUGACCGAGGGAAGAAGGAGAGGGAGGACCGGGAACGUGAAAGGGAGGAACGCGAGAAAAAACGCAAAGAGGAGGAGGAGAGGGAGAAAGAACGAGAAAAGGAGAGGGAGAGAGAGCGUGAGAAGGAGAGGGAACGUGAGCGGGAGAGGGAUCGGGACAGGGAACGGGAAAGGGACAGGCGCAGCAGGAGGAGUCACUCCAACAGUAGACACUCCAGCCGUGCGUCAGACCGCCGCAGGAGCCGCUCAAGAGACAGGAGGAGGUCCAGAAGUAAGGAACGCGACAGGAAGCGCAGCAGGAGCCGUGACCGAGAGAGGAGGCGCAGCCGGGAACGCUCGGACAGGAAGCGCCGCUCUCGGAGCAGGGAGAGAAGGAGGUCCCGCAGCUCUGAGCGCAAGAGCCACCGGCACCGCAGCAGAGACAGAGAAAAGGACAGAGGAGACAGAGACAAGGACAAAUCCUCUAAGGACAAAGAGCACAAGGACUCCUCAGAUGAGAAAAGGAGCAGCAGAAAGGGCUCGGUUGAGAAGUCAAAUGAGCUCUCCAAGCCCGAGCCCAUGGAGGCCGAGCCUCCCAAAGCGGAAGUGAACGGCACCGCCCAAGAGCUACAUUCUGAAGGUGACACACAGUCCAAUUAAAACUGAUCUGAUAGGACCUCAGAUCAGCCCCAGUGCAUCGUAAGUAUGCACUGAAGAUGGGGACUAGGCUGAUGAAACGGAAGAAAGUAGAAAGAAACAAACCCAGAGGGAAAGGCCAGUGUAGCCCUGAAAAACAUGCUUGGAGGGGGAGUUUGAACAGCUGCAAGAGGAAGAACUGAAGACCUCCAUCCUACAACUCAGCUCUGCUGCUUUAAAACAAGGUGAACCACAGAUGUAGUGGCCUAUAUGAUAAAGAUGUAAAUGUAAAAUGGUUCUGUAGCCCCUUUUCAGCGUUUCCACAGGACCUUCCGUGUUCUUUUUAUUAUGUUUGUUUGGUUUUUCUUUGGUCUUACUGCUAUACGCUGGCAUAGAUGCACAUGCAAGUCCACCAUUAUUUCUGUUAGUAUGCAUUCAGAAUGAAUAAAAUACUUUGUGGCAUGUUUGCUCUGUACAGUCCGCUCUCACUUUUACACAUUGGAAAUAUUGAAGAUCGGUUUAGUUCAGUAUUUUGACUGGAAGCCUUAAAGGUCUCUACACUGCUUUAUCUCUUAUUUUCCCUCUGUAUGCUAAAUCCCAAAUCUUUAUACGAUUUUAGUUUAGUGAAGUGUUUUCAUUUUGUUCCCGUUUUAAAACCUGUAUUUGUCAUGAAUAAAAAUGAAGAAAAAAAUGUGGACAAAUGUUGAUUUUUUUAUUUUUUUUUUUUUUUUUUUUCUCCAAAUGGGAGCAUGUAUCUGAUGUCGUAAAUCCAGAAUUGCAUUUAUACUGCACAAACCUACAGAACAUCAACAGUGGAGACAUUCUUCAUGUAUUUCUGUACUCUGAAUGCAUCUCAAUGUAUGUGAAUUCAGGCUUACCUGGACAGGCAAAUCGUUUCACUCAAUGGCCGCCUGAAGAGGAAUGAUCAAAAUCACCAAAGAUGAAGUUUAAAUACACACAUGCAGACUCAUCACACUGAAACAGGCCAUUGUUGAGUGAAAUAGGCCAUUCAUGUGACUGUCAAAAUUCACAUAUAGCAAAGGAAGAGAAACUGAUUUUGUGUUUGAAAGUGAAUGUGACGUGUAGCCAAAUAUGGUGCCCCAUACUCAGAAUUUAUUCUCUGCAUUUCACACAUCCAAGUACACACCAAGAGCAGUGGGCAGCUAUUUUUUACCGAGUGUCUUUUUUUAAUGGAACACAAGUACUUUUUCUGAUAACUGACUAUAAAUGUCAAGAUGCACUAUAUGAAGUAUUGUGAAUCACCUCUUAAUUAUUGAAUUUAGGUGUUUCAAUCAGACGCAUUGCCACAGGUGUAAAAUAAAGCAUUCCUCAUUUACAAACGUGAAAAAA